ensembl:lncRNA
GAGAGAUUGAGAGUGAGUGCACAAGCAGGGGGAGAGGCAGAAGGAGAUGGAGAAGCAGACUCCCCACUGAGCAGGGAGCCCAUCAUAGGACCCGUAGGACUUGAGCCCAGGAUUGUGACCUGAGCCGAAGGCAGACACUUAACCAACUGAGCCAACUGGUUGCCCCCUCCCUCACUUUUCUGACUGAGAUUCUUGGCUAUUGUUUUUUCUUUCUUUUAUGCCUUUUUUUUUGUAUUUUUUUUAUUGGAGUUUUUUUUUUAAUAUUUUAUUUAUUUAUUCAUAGAGACACAGCUAGAGAGAGAGAGGCAGAGACACAGGCAGAGGGAGAAGCAGGCACCAUGCAGGGAGCCUGAUGUGGGACUCGAUCCCGGUCCUCCAGGAUCACACCCUGGGCUGCAGGCGGCGCUAAACCGCUGCGCCACCGGGGCUGCCCUUUUAUUGGAGUUUGAUUUGCCAACAUAUAGUAUAACACCCAAUGCUCAUCCCAUUUUCAAUGCUCAAUUCUUUCUGGUCUCCUAGCAACUUGUCCUUCCUUACUGGCCUCUCUUACCACCCCGGGGUUCCACCCAGCCACCUGCCCAGACUACAAACUAACCUUUCCCUCCUUAUCUUCAUUUUUCUUCUUCCUCGGAUCUUUCUUUUUAUGUGUCCUAGGUCCCUGGUUCAAUACGACUGCCUUCUUUUCUGGACUCAAGAAGAGAGCAGAUUUCUCCAUCUACCCUUCUUAUAUGCUAAUGACCUCAAAACUGUGUCCAUAAAGCAGGAGUCUUGCUGCUGGUGGAGGAUUUGGAUUCAUCUGGUCAGUGCCUCAUUGACCUCAGACCACCCUUGUCUUGCCAAGGACUCCUGUAUCUGGGGGCUUUAGCUGCUGACCUGUUGCCUGAUAGUUUUUCCUCACCAUGGGUAAGCUUUCCUUGUUUUUGAAUCCAUUACUUUAGUUCCAUUCUUAAGCCAAACUGUUUUAUUCUGUUGUUGAAAUUCACUGCAGAGCAUAUUGCAUGAGAUUCACAUUUUUACCUACUUUUUUAAACUACUUCUAAUAAAAUGAGAUGAUAAUUUUUU